rnacentral:rRNA from 1 species
AUUGAACGCUGGCGGCAUGCCUUACACAUGCAAGUCGAACGGCAGCACGGGAGCAAUCCUGGUGGCGAGUGGCGAACGGGUGAGUAAAGUAUCGGAACGUGCCCAGUCGCGGGGGAUAACGUAGCGAAAGUUACGCUAACACCGCAUACGAUCUAUGGAUGAAAGCGGGGGAUCGCAAGACCUCGCGCGAUUGGAGCGGCCGAUAUCAGAUUAGGUAGUUGGUGGGGUAAAGGCUCACCAAGCCGACGAUCUGUAGCUGGUCUGAGAGGACGACCAGCCACACUGGGACUGAGACACGGCCCAGACUCCUACGGGAGGCAGCAGUGGGGAAUUUUGGACAAUGGGCGCAAGCCUGAUCCAGCCAUGCCGCGUGCAGGAUGAAGGCCUUCGGGUUGUAAACCGCUUUUGUACGGAACGAAAAGGUUUGGCUUAAUACGUUGAACUCAUGACGGUACCGUAAGAAUAAGCACCGGCUAACUACGUGCCAGCCGCCGCCGUAA